GAUGAACGCUGGCGGCGUGCCUAAUACAUGCAAGUCGAGCGAACGGACGAGAAGCUUGCUUCUCUGAUGUUAGCGGCGGACGGGUGAGUAACACGUGGAUAACCUACCUAUAAGACUGGGAUAACUUCGGGAAACCGUAGCUAAUACCGGAUAAUAUUUUGAACCGCAUGGUUCAAAAGUGAAAGACGGUCUUGCUGUCACUAAUAGAUGGAUCCGCGCUGCAUUAGCUAGUUGGUAAGGUAACGGCUUACCAAGGCAACGAUGCAUAGCCGACCUGAGAGGGUGAUCGGCCACACUGGAACUGAGACACGGUCCAGACUCCUACGGGAGGCAGCAGUAGGGAAUCUUCCGCAAUGGGCGAAAGCCUGACGGAGCAACGCUGCGUGAGUGAUGAAGGUCUUCGGAUCGUAAAACUCUGUUAUUAGGGAAGAACAUAUGUGUAAGUAACUGUGCACAUCUUGACGGUACCUAAUCAGAAAGCCACGGCUAACUACGUG
rnacentral:rRNA from 1 species